GGAGAGUUGGCAGAGUGGUCUAAUGCACUGCACUCGAAAUGCAGAGGGCCCGCAAGGGUCCCCAGGGUUCGAAUCCCUGACUCUCCGCCA
rnacentral:tRNA from 1 species